rnacentral:rRNA from 1 species
CCUACGGGAGGCAGCAGUGAGGAAUAUUGGACAAUGGGCGCAAGCCUGAUCCAGCCAUGCCGCGUGCAGGAAGAAGCAUCUAUGGUGUGUAAACUGCUUUUGUACAGGAAGAAACACUCCCUCGUGAGGGAGCUUGACGGUACUGUAAGAAUAAGGACCGGCUAACUCCGUGCCAGCAGCCGCGGUAAUACGGAGGGUCCGAGCGUUAUCCGGAAUCAUUGGGUUUAAAGGGUCCGUAGGCGGUUUAAUAAGUCAGUGGUGAAAUCUGGUCGCUCAACGAUCAAACGGCCAUUGAUACUGUUAGACUUGAAUUAUAAGGAAGUAACUAGAAUAUGUAGUGUAGCGGUGAAAUGCUUAGAUAUUACAUGGAAUACCAAUUGCGAAGGCAGGUUACUACUUAUGGAUUGACGCUGAUGGACGAAAGCGUGGGGAGCGAACAGGAUUAGAUACCCUGGUAGUCCACGCCGUAAACGAUAGAUAUANUGUGNGNAUNUGNGUGNGUAGAGAGUAGAGUAGUA